rnacentral:rRNA from 1 species
UACGUAGGGGGCGAGCGUUGUUCGGAAUUACUGGGCGUAAAGGGAGUGUAGGCGGCUUGUUAAGUCUUCUGUGAAAUCUACGGGCUCAGCCUGUAACGUGCAGAGGAAACUGGCGAGCUUGAGUGUCGGAGAGGAUAGGGGAAUACCCGGUGUAGAGGUGAAAUUCGUAGAGAUCGGGUGGAACACCAGUGGCGAAGGCGCCUAUCUGGCUGACAACUGACGCUGAGACUCGAAAGCAUGGGGAGCAAACAGG